CAAUAACACAAUGGGUACUGGUAAAAACUAAAAUUACCGGUUGAGAAAGACCAUCAGACUUGAACAGGUUAAGACCUGCGUAAGAAUGUGUCCGAGUUUUAAU
rnacentral:ncRNA from 2 species